rnacentral:rRNA from 1 species
AUGAAGUGGCGCCAAGCUUCUGGCAUUCUCUGUGACAAGAGAGUGCCACAAAAGCUAAAAGGCAAGUUCUACAGGACGGCGGUUCGACCCGCAAUGUUGUAUGGCGCGAAGUGUUGGCCGACUAAAAGGCGACAUGUUCAACAGUUAGGUGUGGUGGAGAUGCGUAUGUUGAGAUGGAUGUGUGGCCACACGAGGAAGGAUCGAGUCCGAAAUGAUGAUAUACGAGAUAGAGUUGGGGUAGCACCAAUUGUGGAGAAGCUUGUCCAACAUCGUUUGAGAUGGUUUGGGCAUAUUCAGCGCAGGCCUCCAGAAGCUCCAGUGCAU